rnacentral:rRNA from 1 species
GUCCCAGACUCCUACGGGAGGCAGCAGUGGGGAAUAUUGCACAAUGGGGGAAACCCUGAUGCAGCGACGCCGCGUGAGCGAUGAAGUAUCUCGGUAUGUAAAGCUCUAUCAGCAGGGAAGAAAGUGACAGUACCUGACUAAGAAGCCCCGACUAACUACGUGCCAGCAGCCGCGGUAAUACGUAGGGGGCAAGCGUUAUCCGGAUUCACUGGGCGUAAAGGGAGCGUAGACGGCAGUGCAAGUCUGGAGUGAAAGGCGGGGGCUCAACCCCCGGACUGCUCUGGAAACUGUACGGCUGGAGUGCAGGAGAGGUAAGUGGAAUUCCUAGUGUAGCGGCGAAAUGCGUAGAUAUUAGGAGGAACACCAGUGGCGAAGGCGGCUUACUGGACUGUAACUGACGUUGAGGCUCGAAAGCGUGGGGAGCAAACAGGAUUAGAUACCCUCGUA